AUACGGAGGGUGCGAGCGUUAAUCGGAAUUACUGGGCGUAAAGCGCGCGUAGGCGGUUUGGUCAGUCGGAUGUGAAAGCCCCAGGCUCAACCUGGGAAUGGCAUUCGAUACUGCCUGACUAGAGUAUGGUAGAGGGAAGUGGAAUUUCCGGUGUAGCGGUGAAAUGCGUAGAUAUCGGAAGGAACACCAGUGGCGAAGGCGGCUUCCUGGGCCAAUACUGACGCUGAGGUGCGAAAGCGUGGGGAGCAAACAGGAUUAGAAACCCCAGUAGUCC
rnacentral:rRNA from 1 species